UAGCAUCUCCAUUAUGCAGUCAAUGCUGC
rnacentral:piRNA from 1 species